rnacentral:rRNA from 1 species
GAUGAACGCUGGCGGCGUGCCUAAUACAUGCAAGUCGAGCGAAUGGAUUAAGAGCUUGCUCUUAUGAAGUUAGCGGCGGACGGGUGAGUAACACGUGGGUAACCUGCCCAUAUGACUGGGAUAACUCCGGGAAACCGGGGCUAAUACCGGACAACAUUUUGAACCGCAUGGUUCGAAAUUGAAAGGCGGCUUCGGCUGUCACUUAUGGAUGGACCCGCGUCGCAUUAGCUAGUUGGUGAGGUAACGGCUCACCAAGGCAACGAUGGUUAGCCGACCUGAGAGGGUGAUCGGCCACACUGGGACUGAGACACGGCCCAGACUCCUACGGGAGGCAGCAGUAGGGAAUCUUCCGCAAUGGACGAAAGUCUGACGGAGCAACGCCGCGUGAGUGAUGAAGGCUUUCGGGUCGUAAGACUCUGUUGUUAGGGAAGAACAAGUGCUAGUUGAAUAAGCUGGCACCUUGACGGUACCUAACCAGAAAGCCACGGCUAACUACGUGCCAGCAGCCGCAGUAA